ensembl:lincRNA Gm12031 predicted gene 12031
AGAUCUGCCUGCCUCUGCCGCUGAAGGCCUGAGAGGUCCAUACCCACCCCUGGCCCAGACUGAACUUUCAUUUGACUAUUUUUCAGUUUUUGGCAGAUGAGCCAAUUGCCCAUAUUAACCUCCCUGAGACAUGGCUAUGGGUUUAUAAGGAAGAGAGGGAAGUCCUUCCUUCCUUCUUUUCUUUCUUUUUUUUUUUUUUAAGAAUUAUUUUAUUUUAUUUAUAUGAGUAGACNNNNNNNNNNNNNNNNNNNNNNNNNNAUGGCAUUACAGAUGGUUGUGAGCCACCAUGUGGUUGCUGGGAAUUGAACUCAGGACCUUUGGAAGAGCAGUUGGUGCUCUUAACCACUGAGCCAUUUCUCCAGCCCCUCCUUCCUUCUUUCUAUGAAUGUUUUUAAUCUGUGUGUAGCGCAUGUCUGUGUGGGGGUUGUACAGCUGUGUUUGUUCACAGAAGACAGAGGAGGCUUCAUGUCCCCUGGGAUUGGAGUUACAGCCUCCCCCAGCCUUGAAGCAGGUUGAUUCAGACUUGACCUCGCUGCCGCUGAGCAUGAGACCACCUGGGGUGGAGCCUUCCGACCUAGUCGGAUCUAUUGUUCUGUCACCUGCUGCUGCUCGUCUCCA